AAUGGGGGGCGGGUCCAAUCAGGGAGGCUUUGAGGCAACAUUUUGUCAAUGAGCACCAAUGAUGUGUUUUUCUAUACAGCACUCUGCCAUG